AAGCGGGUAGAUCACCCACACUGAGGGAAAAAAAACACUCAAAAAUUCCCGACCACUGUUGGAGAGAGGGUGUUAAUUCUUUUGGUGUAAGCCCUCGUUAGGAGGCUUAAUAUUAAUUAAUUUCCGACAUAUAUAAAGCAAUGCAGUCAAAAUGCUGGAGUAAUUCCGCAGGUCAGGCAGCAUCUAUCGAAAUGAAUAAACUGUCGACGUUUCGGGCCGAGACCCCUUCUCAGGACCAGAAAAGAUCGCUGCUGAGUUCCUCCAGCAGUUUUGUGCGUUGCUUUGGAUUUGCAGCAUCUGCAGAAUUUCUUGUCUCUAUUAUACUGUAAAAGGCGUUUUCCUGGUUAAGGCCGGGAAACGAGAUUCAUCCCGGCGUGCUGGCUGGAGUUGAUGCGAUUACCUCAGGAAGGACGAGCUUCUGGCCGGCAGCCCGGUUCCCAUGAAUGAUGAAAAGACAGGGAGGUUGCAGGCGGUGCCGCUGUCGAGCUGAAGGGGAGGGAGGGGGAACGCCUCGACCGUGAAAACAACAGAGAAAGAAGAUAUAUCCACUCUUGCCAAUUUUUAUUGAUGCACCAUAGAAGGCAUCAAAGACACAUCAAAGCUUGGAUUGAAAAAGGUUGCUGCACGCUCAUCCAGCUCCAUCAUGGGCACCAUUCUUCCCACCAUCAAGGACACCUUCUAAAACCAGUGCCUCAGGAAGGUGGCAUAUAUCAUUAAGGAACAUCACCGUCCAGGAAGACAUAUCCUCUUCUCAUUACUACCAUCAGGGAGGAGGUACACGAGCCUGAUGACACACACUCAACAUUUUAGGAACAGCUUCUUCCCCAAUGCCACUGGACUUCUGAAUGGUUCACGAACGCAACCUCACUAAUUUGCUCUUUUUGCAUUAGUUAUUUAAUAUAAUUUCUUUUUGUAGUUUGUAUUAAUUUUAAAAUAUAUUGCUCUGUACUACUGCCAUAAAACAACAAAUUUAAUAACAUAUAAACCUGAUUCUAAUACAAAUACUAGUAUGUUUCUUGUAGUAUUCCUCUGUAAAUUUGGAUGAUAAUUUGUGUGACCAUCUUGUGCCAUUUAGAGAAUGUUAAGGAGGUUUAGUAAAAUCAGGA